AACGAACGCUGGCGGCAUGCCUAACACAUGCAAGUCGAACGAGACCUUCGGGUCUAGUGGCGCACGGGUGCGUAACGCGUGGGAACCUGCCCUUGGGUUCGGAAUAACUCCCCGAAAGGGGUGCUAAUACCGGAUAAUGUCUUCGGACCAAAGAUUUAUCGCCUUUGGAUGGGCCCGCGUUGGAUUAGCUAGUUGGUAGGGUAAAAGCCUACCAAGGCGACGAUCCAUAGCUGGUCUGAGAGGAUGAUCAGCCACACUGGGACUGAGACACGGCCCAGACUCCUACGGGAGGCAGCAGUGGGGAAUAUUGGACAAUGGGCGAAAGCCUGAUCCAGCAAUGCCGCGUGAGUGAUGAAGGCCUUAGGGUUGUAAGGCUCUUUUACCCGGGAUGAUAAUGACAGUACCGGGAGAAUAAGCUCCGGCUAACUCCGUG
rnacentral:rRNA from 1 species